GACAUCAGUUCUAUGAACUGAGAGUAGGGGGAUGUGGACAUUUUGUGAAGGUGCAAUGUGAGUUGGACUGGAAGAAUGUCUAUUACAGAUCCUAAUUGAAGUAGCGAUUAUCCAGGCUUGUAUCCUGGGGGCUGAUGAGGAGUAGGGUUUCUGGACAACUUAAACAGAUCCAGAGUUAGUCGAUCCUAAUCUCAAUAAUGGGAGAAAGGGAGUACAGUUGAUAUUCUGUAACUGACAACAGUUCGCGGCAACGCAUACUAUUUUUCUCCGCCAAUCUUAUACCGUUGGUAGGGAUCUCUUUCCUACAUGACAGUACUAAUACCCAGGGAAACUGGUCAUCAGGCGAACUGCGGCGUUCUGCUGGCAAAACAUAGCUUCGGUUAUGUCAAUGGCUAUUGGAUUGGUCCAUGAAGCGAAAAAUAGUUUACUGUGUCACUCGUACCGAUAACCGCAUCAGGUCUUCUAGGUAAGUAGCCUAUGGCCAUUGAGGCAUGAUAGUUCAGGGAAUUCGGCCAAUUAGAGCUGUAACUUCGGGAUAAAGCUUGGCUCUGAUGAAAAUCAGAACCGAUUGUUACGCGGAGAGCCCAACUGUUUAAUAAAAACGUAGUGUCGCGCUGUGGUAGUAUAGCCAGUGAACGCGACAUGAAUCCUGCUCAGUGCUGUGUCUGUUAAUAUGGUUCAAGCCAACGAAGCACCGGUAAAUAGCUGGGGUAACUAUGACUCUUAUCAAAGUAGCGAAAUACCUCGUCACUUAAUUAGUGACCUGCAUGAACGGAGCUAUGAGGUUCUCACUGUCCCAAACUGUCUCUCAGCGAACCAACUGUAGUGGGAACGGUCACUAGAUAUCCAGCGGGGAAAGAAGACCCUGUAGAGCUUCACUUUGGUCUAGUCUUGUAUAGUUCCUGCGGGGGUGUAGACUAGGUGGGAGAGCAAUCGAUUCUGAAAAACCACUACCCUGUUUGGAAUUAUGCUUACCUAUCACAAGGAAUAGGACUAGAUAGAAAGUUUGGCUGGGGCGGCACACCUUCGAAAGAGCAGCGAAGGUGUCCUAAGUUGAGCUCAGUGAGGACAGAAAUCUC
rnacentral:ncRNA from 1 species